UUCACACAAGGAAAGCAGGGGCAGCGAGGCAGAGGAACAAGGGGAGCCUGUUCCCAGUGCGCGUGUGCACAGAGCUGCUAAAAGGCAAGAGCAACUGAGACAAAAGAGGUGACUCGGAAAUAAGGCUUGGAGAUGAUUGCCCCUCCCCCAAG